rnacentral:rRNA from 1 species
UACGAAGGGGGCUAGCGUUGCUCGGAAUCACUGGGCGUAAAGCGCACGUAGGCGGAUUGCUAAGUCAGGGGUGAAAUCCUGGAGCUCAACUCCAGAACUGCCUUUGAUACUGGCGAUCUUGAGUCCGGGAGAGGUGAGUGGAACUGCGAGUGUAGAGGUGAAAUUCGUAGAUAUUCGCAAGAACACCAGUGGCGAAGGCGCUCACUGGCCCGGUACUGACGCUGAGGAGCGAAAGCCAGGGGAGCAAACGGG